rnacentral:rRNA from 1 species
UACGUAGGGUGCGAGCGUUGUCCGGAAUUAUUGGGCGUAAAGGGCUCGUAGGCGGUUUGUCGCGUCGGGAGUGAAAACCCAGGGCUUAACCCUGGGCUGGCUUCCGAUACGGGCAGACUAGAGGUAUGCAGGGGAGAACGGAAUUCUUGGUGUAGCGGUGAAAUGCGCAGAUAUCAGGAGGAACACCGGUGGCGAAGGCGGUUCUCUGGGCAUUACCUGACGCUGAGGAGCGAAAGUGUGGGGAGCGAACAGG